GGCGGAUUGUGCAAAAGUAACCCCUACGGAAACCUGCGUGAAUAGACUGUUACCAUAUAGUAACCGUCUGCUGACUCCGGAUGUACAUAAUUUUUAGACAGGUUAAUGUAUUCUGUUCGGGUAGGGCAUUCUGGUAUUCGAUCAAGUAAGAGCAACUUAAAGACGUAAAAUCAAGCUUGCAAUCGGCAUUUAUUGGGAAUAACUGUUUUCCGGCGAUGAUAUUAUGCGUGUAUAGAACACAUAAAGCAAUACAUUUUUCACUUAAAAUUGCACCUAAAGCAAGCAUGAUUUUACUUCUUUCCGCUACUCUUUUUUGACCGAGUACAAGAAUGUCCUACCUAUUAAAAUCGAAAAAUGAUGUAUUUUCCGGAGUGAAAGGUCGGUAAUAUGAAAAUAGUUUAUUCUAGUUUUAUAGAAGGGUCGACAGGUCCUGCUGCAUUCUUGACCUGCAAGGACCAGUCCUAGUUGACUGUCACAUUACAUGUAUUUUUUUUCUAUUCAUUUUGACCAAAUUUUAUACCGUGUGCAGAUUAUUCAUAUAAAGGGUUCCUGUCAGCGUUUCGUUUUCGAUUCUUCCUGUUAUAAAACAAAUGAACUAAUAUUUAUUUUAAUUAAAACAAAAGUGGCAUUUUUAUAAAAAAGAAAGUCUCGAUGCCUUGUGUUUAACGGUUGUUCCAGAUGUGCUUUCAAUACAUAACGACAAACAGGAUGAAUUAUUCCUUUGUUGUUUAAUUUUUAAAUUUGAUAAAUAUUUUCCUUAGAUACAUGUAACUGGUAACAUACAACACGAGUAUGGUUAAUUUAAAAGUUAAUCUGAACGCUGAUUACUAUUUCGUUAGUUUCCUUUUUUUGGACGGGGGUUGGUUGUUCAGAUAUAACAUUUUAUCUUUAAAGGGAACGAACUGAGAGGAAUUUUAUGGAGGAGUUACGUAAGAGUUUACUUAUAUCGCCUACAUGCUUGAUGUAUUGGGGUCAUGAAGGAGAUUUUUUUAAAUUUCUGUAUUCAAUUUCAAUGCCAUUUUCUGCUUUUUUUUUUAUUACCUUUGUUCAUUUUCUAUUUUUUUUUUCAAUUCUAGAAUUCAAUUAUACUCUUUUCUUAUUUUUUGUGGCUUUUUUUCUAUAUUCAAUUUUCCCCCCUCUUUUAUUCUGAAUUUUUUGGUCUAUUAUUCUCUAUUCUGUAAACACAAUCUAGAUCCUUAGAUAUAACAGCCCAAAGAACCUUACAUUACAUUAUUCUAAUGCAACAACUUUUGUAACGUUCAUUUUGAUUGGAUAACGUCACUUUCUUACAUGGCAUCAAUUGACAAUUGAUGCUAUGGGACGUACGCGCAAGCGCAGACGGCAUAUGACAGAUUUUAAAUACAUGUUUUAACGUUUUUUCUGUCAGUUUCCAUUAGAAUGGAGAUAACAAUAUUGUAUUUUAAGCUCCGACGGCAUCAAUUUGGGAUUUGAUGGUCGCAAAUACCCGUUUACUGUCUCCGCUAAC
rnacentral:lncRNA from 1 species